GCUUGUUGCAGACGUAUCUAUAUGACAGUAAUUUUGAUAUUCUCUAUGUAUUUUGUACAGACUUUGAGAAGUAUGUUCUACGUGGUAUGAUGUAUGUUCUGCAUGUGUAUAGACUAGACAGAAUUGAUGACUGGACAGGAAUAAAAUCAAAAUAUGUGAAAUAGCAGCCAUGCCAUGCCACCAGAGAGUUUUACAGAUACAUAGAUGCUUGUCUUUGAAGCACAUGAUGGAUGCCAAUACAGGUGUUUCCAGGCAGAGAGAGUUAAUAAUGACAGUAAAUGUGUUUAUAAUGUACUGUGAGACAAAAUUCUGAGGAAGUUCUUUUGGAGAUCUGUGAAAACCAGGGAUUGUCCUUCAAACUGGUAAGUGAGUUUGAUUCAUAAUUAUAUGAAUUAUAGUGUUUAAAGGUCCAAUACUAAGGAAAGUGAACAUUUUAAUUUCUUUUAAAAAGCACAGAAACUAUUUCAUUUUAUUGGAAAAUGAAAGUUGGUAUGUAGAAAUUCGAAAUAAAUCGCAGUAUAUGUACAAUUAUUUUUCUAUGAAGUAUGAAGAAAGUUAAAAAGACCUGGGGGGUCAGUCUGUCGAUUCAUUGAAAUUUCAACAUAAUACACAUACAUUUCUUUGAGUUCCAAAGACCUUCUGUAAAUUUUGACCUGCCAAUCUUCAUUAUUUAGUGUCUUGCAGAAGUCUAUGCACUGGCUAUGAAAAAAAUUGCCAACUCACUUUCCCUUAGUAAUGGACCUU